GACGAACGCUGGCGGCGUGCCUAAUACAUGCAAGUAGAACGCUGAAGCGAGGAGCUUACUCUUCUUGGAUGAGUUGCGCACGGGUGAGUAACGCGUAGGUAACCUGCCUUGUAGCGGGGGAUAACUAUUGGAAACGAUAGCUAAUACCGCAUAACAAUGGAUGACACAUGUCAUUUAUUUGAAAGGGGCAAUUGCUCCACUACAAGAUGGACCUGCGUUGUAUUAGCUAGUAGGUGAGGUAAUGGCUCACCUAGGCGACGAUACAUAGCCGACCUGAGAGGGUGAUCGGCCACACUGGGACUGAGACACGGCCCAGACGCCUACGGGAGGCAGCAGUAGGGAAUCUUCGGCAAUGGGGGCAACCCUGACCGAGCAACGCCGCGUGAGUGAAGAAGGUUUUCGGAUCGUAAAGCUCUGUUGUAAGUCAAGAACGGGUGUGAGAGUGGAAAGUUCACACUGUGACGGUAGCUUACCAGAAAGGGACGGCUAACUACGUG
rnacentral:rRNA from 1 species